rnacentral:rRNA from 1 species
AACGAACGCUGGCGGCAGGCUUAACACAUGCAAGUCGAACGCAUCCUUCGGGGUGAGUGGCAGACGGGUGAGUAACGCGUGGGAACGUGCCCUUCAGUUCGGGAUAACCCAGGGAAACUUGGGCUAAUACCGGAUACGUGCGAGAGCAGAAAGAUUUAUCGCUGAAGGAUCGGCCCGCGUCUGAUUAGCUAGUUGGUGGGGUAAUGGCCCACCAAGGCGACGAUCAGUAGCUGGUCUGAGAGGAUGAUCAGCCACAUUGGGACUGAGACACGGCCCAAAAUCCUACGGGAGGCAGCCGUGGGGAAUAUUGGACCAUGGGCGCAAGCCUGAUCCAGCCAUGCCGCGUGAGUGAUGAAGGCCUUAGGGUUGUAAAGCUCUUUCGUCCGGGACGAUAAUGACGGUACCGGAAGAAGAAGCCCCGGCUAACUUCGUGCCAGCCGCCGCGGUAA